AUCAGACCAACAAGGUGAUUCUGAGACUGGAAAAGAAGCAACCAAGAAACUUUCGGCAGCUGCACCACCAUUUAAUCCAUCGCCUGUUCCAGUUUUUGGCACUAUCGUAGCACCAGUUUUCAAGGAGCAUGGAGGAAUAUUACCCCCUCCUGUGAAUAUCCCUCCAUUGCUUCCUGUGAAUCCUGUUCGUAGAUCACCACAUCAGUCGGCAACAGCUCGAGUUCCAUAUGGUCCACGCUUGUCAGGUGGCUAUGGUAGGUCUGGGAAUCGAGUUCCACGAAAUAAGCCUGCUUUUCUCAAUGGUGAACCUAAUGGGGAUGCGAGCCAUUUCACGAUUCCUAGAAUCAUGAACCCACAUGCAGCUGAGUUUGUCCCCGGCCAACCAUGGGUUCCAAAUGGCUUUCCAGUUGCUCCAAAUGGUUACAUGGCUUCACCAAAUGGUAUGCCUGUUUCGCCGAAUGGAUAUCCCGUAUCACCAAAUAGCAUACCAGUAUCACCAGAUGGUUCUCCAGCAUCCUUGGACAGCACGCCAGAGACUGAAAACGGACUGCCAGUAUCUCCGGUUGAGGCAGGAGAAUCUCCUUCAGCUGUAACCGUGGAAGGUGAUGCUGAAAAUCAUGAUACAGCGGUGGCAGAUGGGACUGAAGCAGAAACCUCCGGAAGUAUGGUAACUGCCGAGAUAGAAAGUCAGCAGAUCAUGGAGGAUCAGGAAGAAGACGUGGAAAAACUACAUGACAUUCCUAGAGAUGAUGAGAU
rnacentral:lncRNA from 1 species